GGGUUGUGAGGUUAAGCGACUAAGCGUACACGGUGGAUGCCCUGGCAGUCAGAGGCGAUGAAGGACGUGCUAAUCUGCGAUAAGCGUCGGUAAGGUGAUAUGAACCGUUAUAACCGGCGAUUUCCGAAUGGGGAAACCCAGUGUGAUUCGUCACACUAUCAUUAACUGAAUCCAUAGGUUAAUGAGGCGAACCGGGGGAACUGAAACAUCUAAGUACCCCGAGGAAAAGAAAUCAACCGAGAUUCCCCCAGUAGCGGCGAGCGAACGGGGAGCAGCCCAGAGCCUGAAUCAGUGUGUGUGUUAGUGGAAGCGUCUGGAAAGGCGUGCGAUACAGGGUGACAGCCCCGUACACAAAAAUGCACAUACUGUGAGCUCGAUGAGUAGGGCGGGACACGUGGUAUCCUGUCUGAAUAUGGGGGGACCAUCCUCCAAGGCUAAAUACUCCUGACUGACCGAUAGUGAACCAGUACCGUGAGGGAAAGGCGAAAAGAACCCCGGCGAGGGGAGUGAAAAAGAACCUGAAACCGU
rnacentral:rRNA from 1 species